rnacentral:lncRNA from 1 species
CAAGGCAGAGGGCCCUGGGAGAAGGUUGAAUUACAGAAAAAUGCAAUUGCUCAAAAGACAGGUCUUCAUCUGCAAGCCUGGGGAGAGUGUGGGAGCUGUUUGAAGGAUGUGCCAUGGGAUCAAAGGCAGGGACAGCACCAAAAAAGCAUUUCUGAGGAGGUGGGAAUGGCAGUCCCAGCUGUUAGCAAGGAAUAUUCCCUUGCUGGCCCUGAGAUGACACAGACCAUCCCAACAACCAGUGCUCUUAAACAGGAGAGUGUGAGAGGAGCUGAAAUUUGUCUGUCCUCACAGGAAAUGAGGUUUGGCUUGACCUGGAGGAGAGAAGAGGUGUCUGGAUGGGCAGAGUUGUUUGCCAGGUGGAUUUGCCUCCGUGAGUGGUGCAGCAGUUGCUGACGUGUCCCUGUGUCUGCGCCUCUCCUGAAGCAGCAACUGUAGUGAGAGAAAUCCGAAUUUCCCGGUGGAAGGAUCCUCAUGGCUGGCACGGGAGAUGAGAGCACAAGCCGUGAUUGCCCAGGGCCAAAAUCAUCCUCUGGAAUGGAGAGGGGCAGGAAUAAAGGCAGCGGCUUUUCCCA